rnacentral:rRNA from 1 species
AUUGAACGCUGGCGGCAGGCCUAACACAUGCAAGUCGAGCGGAUGAAGAGGGCUUGCUCUCUGAUUCAGCGGCGGACGGGUGAGUAAUGCCUAGGAAUCUGCCUGGUAGUGGGGGACAACGUUUCGAAAGGAACGCUAAUACCGCAUACGUCCUACGGGAGAAAGUGGGGGAUCUUCGGACCUCACGCUAUCAGAUGAGCCUAGGUACGAUAAGCUAGUUGGUGAGGUAAAGGCUAACCAAGGCGACGAUCGUUAACUGGUCUGAGAGGAUGAUCAGUCACACUGGAACUGAGACACGGUCCAGACUCCUACGGGAGGCAGCAGUGGGGAAUAUUGGACAAUGGGCGAAAGCCUGAUCCAGCCAUGCCGCGUGUGUGAAGAAGGUCUUCGGAUUGUAAAGCACUUUAAGUUGGGAGGAAGGGCAGUAAGUUAAUACCUUGCUGUUUUGACGUUACCGACAGAAUAAGCACCGGCUAACUUCGUGCCAGCAGCCGCCGUAA